rnacentral:rRNA from 1 species
GUGUUGCAUGGCUGUCGUCAGCUCGUGUCGUGAGAUGUUGGGUUAAGUCCCGCAACGAGCGCAACCCUCAUCCUUAGUUACUAUCAGGUAAUGCUGGGGACUUUAAGGAAACUGCCAGUGAUAAACUGGAGGAAGGUGGGGAUGAUGUCAAGUCAUCAUGGCCCUUAUGGAGUGGGCUACACACGUGCUACAAUGGUGGCUACAAUGGGCUGCAAAGUCGCGAGGCUAAGCCAAUCCCUUAAAAGCCAUCUCAGUUCGGAUUGUACUCUGCAACUCGAGUGCAUGAAGUUGGAAUCGCUAGUAAUCGUGGAUCAGCAUGCCACGGUGAAUACGUUCUCGGGUCUUGUACACACUGCCCGUCACGCCAUGGGAAUUGGUUUC